rnacentral:rRNA from 1 species
AUUGAACGCUGGCGGCAUGCCUUACACAUGCAAGUCGAACGGCAGCACGGGAGCAAUCCUGGUGGCGAGUGGCGAACGGGUGAGUAAAUACAUCGGAACGUGCCCAGUUGUGGGGGGAUAGCCCGGCGAAAGCCGGAUUAAUACCGCAUACGACCUACGGGUGAAAGCGGGGGAUCGCAAGGCCUCGCGCUAUUGGAGCGGCCGAUGUCGGAUUAGCUAGUUGGUGGGGUAAAAGCCUACCAAGGCUACAAUACCGUAGCUGGUCUGAGAGGACGACCAGCCACACUGGGACUGAGACACGGCCCAGACUCCUACGGGAGGCAGCAGUGGGGAAUUUUGGACAAUGGGCGGCAAGCCUGAUCCAGCCAUGCCGCGUGCGGGAAGAAGG